UGGCCAUGAGACCGGCAAACGGGUGCGGAACACGUACGCAACCUUCCCAAAACUGGUGAAUAGCCCUCCGAAAGGAGGAUUAAUGCACCGUAACAUAAUGAAGUGGCAUCACUUUAUUAUUAUAGCUCCGGCGGUUUUGGAUGGGCGUGCGCCUGAUUAGGUAGUUGGCGGGGUAACGGCCCACCAAGCCUUCGAUCAGUAACUGGUGUGAGAGCACGACCAGUCACACGGGCACUGAGACACGGGCCCGACUCCUACGGGAGGCAGCAGUAAGGAAUAUUGGUCAAUGGACGCAAGUCUGAACCAGCCAUGCCGCGUGAAGGAUGACGGCCCUCUGGGUUGUAAACUUCUUUUAUCUGGGACGAAAAAAGGGCUUUCUAGCUCGACUGACGGUACCAGAGGAAUAAGCACCGGCUAACUCCGUGCCAGCAGCCGCGGUAAUACGGAGGGUGCAAGCGUUAUCCGGAUUUACUGGGUUUAAAGGGUGCGUAGGUGGGUCUGUAAGUCAGUGGUGAAAUCUCCGAGCUUAACUCGGAA
rnacentral:rRNA from 1 species